rfam:Canis lupus familiaris chromosome X, whole genome shotgun sequence.
AGGAGGAACAACCACAGUGACCUCGGCCAGCUCUGGAGCCCUGUAUUCAGCUCCCACAGUAACUAUGGAGCUCUCAGCCUGCAGGGCCUGGAGGCUCCGGGGCGGG